UACGUAGGUGGCAAGCGUUGUCCGGAUUUACUGGGCGUAAAGAGCGCGCAGGCGGUCGGAUAAGUCGAAUGUGAAAGCCCCCGGCUCAACUGGGGAGGGUCAUUCGAUACUGUCCGACUCGAAGGCAGGAGAGGGAAGCGGAAUUCCCGGUGUAGUGGUGAAAUGCGUAGAUAUCGGGAGGAACACCAGUGGCGAAGGCGGCCUUCUGGUCGGAUACUGACGCUAAAACGCGGAAAGCGAUGGGGAGCAAACAGGG
rnacentral:rRNA from 1 species